UACGUAGGUGGCAAGCGUUGUCCGGAUUUACUGGGCGUAAAGAGCGCGCAGGCGGUCGUUUAAGUCGAAUGUGAAAGCCCCCGGCUCAACUGGGGAGGGUCAUUCGAUACUGAUCGACUUGAAGGCAGGAGAGAGAAGUGGAAUUCCCGGUGUAGUGGUGAAAUGCGUAGAUAUCGGGAGGAACACCAGUGGCGAAGGCGACUUCUUGGCCUGUUCUUGACGCUGAGGCGCGAAAGCUAGGGUAGCAAACGGG
rnacentral:rRNA from 1 species